GAUGAAGAACGCAGCGAAAUGCGAUACGUAAUGUGAAUUGCAGAAUUCAGUGAAUCAUCGAAUCUUUGAACGCACAUUGCGCCUGCCAGCACUCUGGCAGGCAUGCCUGUUCGAGCGUCAUUUCAACCAUCAAGCCCUAGGCUUGCGUUGGAGCCCUGCGGCUGCCGUAGGCCCCUAAAAGCAGUGGCGGGCUCGCUAUCACACCGAGUGCAGUAGAUUACUCUUCGCUCAGGGCGUGUGGCGGGUUCCAGCCGUGAAACCCCCUACUUCUCAAGGUUGACCUCGGAUCAGGUAGGAAUACCCGCUGAACUUAAGCAUAUCAAUAAGCGGAGGA
rnacentral:misc_RNA from 1 species